UCUACAGAGUGAGUUCUAGGAUAGCCAGGACUACACAGAGAAACGCUGUCUUGAAAAAACAAAAAUCAUAAAACAAACAAACAAAAAGAAUGAGUAGAUCAUAAGUACCUCAAGACAUUACUUCUAACUGCCUUUGUAAUAUUUUUAUCUUAAUUUUUCAUCCUAUAACAUUUGAGUGUCUUAUCAUAUUAGAAAAACUGUUUACUAUUAUAUUGGCAAAAUCAUGGCUCUUGUCUCAGGUGGGUACAUAUGAUGACUAGUUUCCUGUAGCCCAGAUUUAGCCCCAGUGGCCUGGAACUACUAUGUAGACCAGGCUGGCCUUGAACUUACAGCAAUUCUCCUGCCUCUCUUUCCCUUAUUUUUAGUCUUUAGAAACAAUAUUACAUUUUACUUUUGAAAAUUGUGAGUGAAUAUUUGUGUUUAAGACAACAAACUCCCAAUAGGUGGGUAUUUCACAUAAAAAUUUUAAACACAAGUUAAACUGGCAAAUUUUGCCUUAUAUCUUAGCAGGAAUAGUACCAGCAAUAUGUAUACAUGUUUCUAAUGGAUAUGUUGUCAAUAAAGUAUGGGUAAUUCAGGUGUUUCUGGGACUUGUUGCUGAUAUAUAGAGAAAAAUUAAGAUUAUAUUCAUAUAUAAAAUUGCAUCUUUGUAAUGAGAAACAUCAUACAUUUAUAAAUUCCUCUCUCUGCCCAUCCAUUUAUCCAUCCAUCUAUUCAUACAUACAUACAUACAUACAUACAUACAUACAUACAUAUAUACAUACAUAUACAACUAGCUAACUCUAUCCGUUCAUUCAUAUAUACAUGCACCUUUCUGCCCUAAACAGGACAAAUUGAAGAUUUAUGCUUUGGUGAAAAGUCCAUGUCUAAACUUAAAACCUCACAUGGUUUGUUGAAAUUGCCUGAGGCUACUGAAACAUAAAUAAGAGAUGCAACUGUCCAUGUAGUGCCACACAGAUACUUUCUUAUAAAUACAAAGCCCUGCAGAACUUCUUCAGUGCUGCCCCUUGGAUACUCAGUGCGUUCCACGGCUCUCUCUGAUUAUUUUCUUUGUCAAUAUACUCUGUCUUCAUUGGAACCAAUAAACAUUGCAUUCAAGGAUUUUCUGAUGAAAAUUUUGCAUAACAGAGUGAGAUGAAAUUUUGAAAAUAGCUUAAUUGCUAUCCCAGAUAAUAAAAGUAGCCAGUUUGCCUUACUAUGCAGAUCCCCAGAGACCUGCAUUUCUGUUUGAGAGCUAACUAUAUCUAUUAUUGUUGUGAGAUUUUUAAAUGAUACUUCCUCCAGGAUUAGCUUUAAGAUUACUCCCAACUAAAGUAUCUUAAGGAACAUAUGGAAUCAAGUUUGAAGCUACAAAAUAUUCUCUACUUACUACCACAUAAAUCUACAC
rnacentral:lncRNA from 1 species